AGAGAGGAGUAUCCCCCUGGAGAUCUUUGUAUACCUAAGACCUUCCAAAUCCCCCCUGUAGAUACUGGAACUCCACUAUCAGGUCCCCCCAGAGUAUUCUCUUCCCCAGCUCUCCAAGCUUGUCCUCAUAAGGAAGCUUUUCCAUCUCUUGGAUCAAUUUUAUUGGCCCUUCCCUGGAUGUGCUCUGAGAGGUCCACAUCUGGAUCCUUUACUGAGGACUCCAAAUCUGGAUGCAGUACUCCAGAUAUUCUACUUUCCUUAUGAGGUCACAAGCGACCAUGGCAUGAAACUCAGGUCAACAAGCAAAGGUUUGAAAGCAUUUCUUCACAGCUGCUAUCUGGAAAGUAACUGAACACACCUCUUGAAGUGCUGGGAAUCAGAACGAAAGGUCAAAUUAAGUCCUACAUAUAUCCUGUCAUAAUAUUGCUUGCAGGGAUUAAAUGCAAUUUCAAGUCUUGCUGAACUGGCAACUUCCAGCUUACACAACAAAGCGGAGAUGGGUGUGUAAGAUUUCUCUUUCAGAAGUGACCUGAUUGGAUUACUGAACUUCAUGGUUCUGCUCUUCACAUCUUUCAGUGAGAUGCCUGCAUAACACAGACUAAAAAAGCAUUGUCCAAAUGGAAACUAAGGAGUUGGAAAAAAGUGAAGUACAAUAUGUUUAUAUAUUAAAAGCCUUUUUUUUCUUCAAUAGGCAUCCUCCCAUGGAUGUUUGCGGAAAGAAGGUGAAUUAUUUAAAGGCAUGAUCUCUCAGGUUUUAGUUUUGUCUAUAAUUACUCUUAACUUGUUCUUUAAUGACAAAUUUUAGAGGAAAUUCCUUGAUGCUACAUCUCUUAUAGCAGGGAAAACCUUAUCAGAUUUCAUUUCCUUUAUAGUCUAAUUUCCAGAAUGAUUUCAAAAGUUGACAAAUGACAUAAGUCUUGUUUUGCACCAGUGUUUUAACAUAUGUACUGGACUUCCUCUCAAGUGAAUGUGCCUGCAACUCCACAAAUACAGCACACUCUGUGACAAGAUUAUAGUAACUUUCAAGCAACAAACAGAACGUGCAGGGAGCAAACCUUAGUAGUGCAGGCUAAGAGGCUGGAUGUUCUAACUCAAUUUCUCUUCUCAGCAAGAACUUUUGGAAUAGUAGAAAUGAAAAUUUCCAUGUUAAUAUUUGAAAUACCAUUAAAUGGAAGAAACAACAACAACAACAAAUUCUCAUUUCCAUAUUUGAAAUCUGUUUUGCCACUUUCUGAGGUUUUCUUUACAGUUGCAAUUAAAAUUAAAAUGUCUUAGUUUGCACAGCAAAGAUUUUUUUAAAUACUUUACAGCAUUGGGCCAUCAAAAUAAGUUUUUUCAAAUGCUAUGUGAAACAUACAGACCUUGAACAUCUGGAAGCAGCAUCGCAGAAGAGUUACAUGGCUUUGUAGCUCUUUCUUCUUGCAGUAUUUCCUGUGUCAGGUAAUUCACUGGAUUCUUAAAUAUCUUACUUUGUCUUUUUGUCUAUUUAAGAUUAGUGCUUAUGAAAUUUAAGGAUAUUUAAGGCAAAAUUUAGCAAAAAUGCCAGUAAGUCUAUGAAUAAUUCUGCAGUGAGUGUAAAUUACUCCUCUUUCUUAAUUGCUCACCUUCUUUAAAAUGCCAACUGCUCUAUCAGUAUUACUGAUUUGGUAAAAUUGGAAAAAAAAAAAGAACAGAAUCAUAUUUUUGUUUGUUGCACACAUAUCUACAAGCUGCAUAGACUCUAUCAUUUUGUUAACAUGGUAUACCAACCAUAGACUUAUCAACUUUUCUUAUGGGAAGAUAGCAUUUAUUUAUAUAUUUACAUCUUUAACUACUGCCAGCACUUAUUGCUUGGAACCAUCUUACUUUCCAGACGUAGGUAUAUACUUUAUCAUUUCUCUGUACAUCAGCUUCCUAUCUUGUCACUGCAGCAGAUAAAAGUCUGUUGCUUAGUGUGAGACAAAAAAGCAACAAACUUUUUUUUUUCCUCCUCUAGUAUUAUAGACGCACAAAGAUUAAGAAAAAGCAAGAAAAGCUGCUCACUAACUGAAUACUACUUCCAUAGAACAGCAACUAGAGUUGGAGUGUUUUUUUUCAGGUAGCAUGCUUGGAAACAGAACCAAAUCAAAUGGGCCUCCUUCAGAUAAAUUAAAAAAAAAAAUCAAGUCAAAACAUAUAUGCACCUCAAAAGAAACCAACCAAGAAAAAAAAAAAUCCACAUCAAAACAAAACCACUUCUGUUUUCUAAAGAUAGAGUCAAAAGAUAUGCCAGAAGUCCCAGCCCUUCCUUGAUGGAUUAAAUUGCCUUAAGCAAGAAGAGAAGACCAAAUGUGGCAAAAAAAAAAAAAAAUCUGUGGCAAUUACUGCCAUGUGCUUCUCUGACUCAAGCUGCAAACAACAGAAGAAAACUUUGCAGCUGGCAAAGGCAUUACAAAGAACAAUUAUGCUGCUGUAGUUAAACAUUUUCCAGUUAAGAUAGAAAGGAAAAGAAAGAGCCAAUACAUCAAAAAACCUAAUGUAGUCAAGUCAAGAAUUACCUUAAUUAAAUCUUGAAAUGUUUGUUCUGAAGUAAACUAUCUUCAAACAAAACUAUGAAGGUUUUAGUAUGUCAGAGGCACCUAUUCAUCAUUUCAUGAACACUUUGAAACUACAGCCAUUAAAUUAAAAGAGUGUAUUGCAUUAUACGUGGCAUAAUUUACAGGUCAGUUCAACUACUAAUAAUGUUAAAGCAAUAAAAAAACCUUCAACUUCAGCCUUUGCAGUUGGUGAUAGAACCUCAGUUUUGUGUUAACCUAAAGAAACAUAAUAACAGAUAGCUAAUCUAAUUUCAAAGCAUAAUUUUUUCUGUUCCUUGAAGAUAUUAGUAUUGUCCCCCCCAUUCCAAGGGAAACAGUAAAUAUGAGAAAAAGAAAAACUUCAUACAGUAUUUCCUCCUAAAAUAAAAAUAAUAUUAAAGUAUAAGUUAACACAUCUCAUUUCCUGAGACAUAUCAGGAAACCUGUUCCUAAGACAUUAUGAAGAGUGUGUAAACAUCUCACUUACUCUUUCAUUCUUAAAGUCCU